GACGAACGCUGGCGGCGUGCUUAACACAUGCAAGUCGAACGGAAAGGCCCUGCUUUUGUGGGGUGCUCGAGUGGCGAACGGGUGAGUAACACGUGAGUAACCUGCCCUUGACUUUGGGAUAACUUCAGGAAACUGGGGCUAAUACCGGAUAGGAGCUCCUGCUGCAUGGUGGGGGUUGGAAAGUUUCGGCGGUUGGGGAUGGACUCGCGGCUUAUCAGCUUGUUGGUGGGGUAGUGGCUUACCAAGGCUUUGACGGGUAGCCGGCCUGAGAGGGUGACCGGCCACAUUGGGCCUGAGAUACGGCCCAGACUCCUACGUGAGGCAGCAGUGGGGAAUAUUGCACAAUGGGCGGAAGCCUGAUGCAGCAACGCCGCGUGCGGGAUGACGGCCUUCGGGUUGUAAACCGCUUUCGCCUGUGACGAAGCGUUAGUGACGGUAAUGGGUAAAGAAGCACCGGCUAACUACGUG
rnacentral:rRNA from 1 species